rnacentral:rRNA from 1 species
UACGAAGGGGGCUAGCGUUGCUCGGAAUUACUGGGCGUAAAGGGCGCGUAGGCGGCGCUGUUAGUCAGGCGUGAAAUUCCUGGGCUCAACCUGGGGACUGCGCUUGAUACGGCAGUGCUUGAGGAUGGAAGAGGCUCGCGGAAUUCCCAGUGUAGAGGUGAAAUUCGUAGAUAUUGGGAAGAACACCAGUGGCGAAGGCGGCUUACUGGUCCGGAACUGACGCUGAGGUGCGAAAAGCGUGGGGAGCAAACA